rnacentral:lncRNA from 1 species
CACAGGUUCUGCCAAGAUCUCCCUUGCCAUUCUUACAAUAUGAACUUUUAUGUCUAGGUCCUUAUCCUAGAAGGCAGGUAGGAUAGGGGAUAGAAUUCUCAACUGGAGUCAGAAAGCCUCAGAUGCUAUAUGACCCUGGUGUCUUCAAACAAGAAAGAAAUGAUGUUAGUCCUGAAUGCACAGAAGAAAUUAGGGGAUGAGAUGAAUGGUCCUAAACUAUGUAAAAACCAAAGGCAGAUCCUUGAUGGCAGACCCCAGACAAAGCUACAACCUUGGUACUCCUGCACUCUGGUGCUGUCUGAUGUCCCAAAUGGCAUUUUUCUUUGCCUAGAUUAAAGACUCUUAUUGUUGCCACUUUGGUCAUCCUCUUUAUUUCAGGUUGACAAGGGAAUUAAUAGAGAAAACAGAAACUAUUCCACAAGCAAUAUUCAACAAAAGACUGCAUCUUUACCAUCUCAUUAAAAAACCAAAAGAUCUAACAUUCUUCAUUUAUUGUUUAUUGAUUAUGAAAAGUAUUUGAUUCAAAUGAAUAAAAUGCUACCUUAUAAGCUCUUUUACCGCA